UCUGAACAUUACAUUAUUUUC
rnacentral:piRNA from 1 species